CUCCUCUCAGGGUCGCAUCUGGAGAGAUCGCAGUACUCCACCAGUCUCGGCUAUGGGAGGAAGAGUCAAACUGAGGUAUACCUAUUCCAUUCCUAACUUGAGCAGUGGUUAGCGAGUGGAAGGCGAUCUGUUACAAGU
rfam:Ornithorhynchus anatinus chromosome 2, whole genome shotgun sequence.